AAAAAAAAACACUUCAGUGCAUAGUCAGAAACAAAGGAAAGUAGGUUCUUGAACCUCCUGUGUCCAGAUGCCGUCAUCUGAAGUGUCCAAGAAUCUUCAAGAAAAAUUUUUCUUUUUUUCUUCGGAAAUGGAAAUCUUUUUCUGAAGGAUUGUAUGGACAAGAAGUGAGGAUCCAAAGAGGUGACUGCAUAGUAAAAUAAAAACUUCAGUGCAUAGUCAGAAACAAAGAUUGAAACAAGAGUAACAAGACUGGCGAGCUGCAGUCAGUAGCUCCAGGAACGUCAAGGUGGGAGGACGUGUCUCUACACCUCUGUGUUACUGACGUCGGUAAGGUCGAAACUCCUAUAGAAACGCCACGACAACUACCACCUUAGAGUUGAGGUAAGUAAGUUUAUUCUGC